UACGUAGGCCCCGAGCGUUAUCCGGAAUUACUGGGCGUAAAGUGCGCGUAGGCGUUUUUGUAAGUCGGUCGUUAAAUCUCACAGCUUAACUGUGAGACCGCGAGCGAUACUACAAGAAUUGAGUUUUGCAGGGGCUAGCAGAAUUUCUGGAGGAGGGGUGAAAUACGUUGAUACCAGAAGGAAUACCAAUGGCGAAGGCAGCUAGCUGGGCAAUAACUGACGCUGAGAGCGCGAAAGCGUGGGGAGCAAACGGG
rnacentral:rRNA from 1 species